CGGAAUUACUGGGCGUAAAGCGUGCGCAGGCGGUUGUGCAAGACCGAUGUGAAAUCCCCGAGCUUAACUUGGGAAUUGCAUUGGUGACUGCACGGCUAGAGUGUGUCAGAGGGGGGUAGAAUUCCACGUGUAGCAGUGAAAUGCGUAGAGAUGUGGAGGAAUACCGAUGGCGAAGGCAGCCCCCUGGGAUAACACUGACGCUCAUGCACGAAAGCGUAGGGAGCAAACAGGAUUAGAUACCCUGGUAGUCCACGCCCUAAACGAUGUCAACUAGUUGUUGGGGAUUCAUUUCCUUAGUAACGUAGCUAACGCGUGAAGUUGACCGCCUGGGGAGUACGGUCGCAAGAUUAAAACUCAAAGGAAUUGACGGGGACCCGCACAAGCGGUGGAUGAUGUGGAUUAAUUCGAUGCAACGCGAAAAACCUUACCUACCCUUGACAUGCCACUAACGAAGCAGAGAUGCAUUAGGUGCUCGAAAGAGAAAGUGGACACAGGUGCUGCAUGGCUGUCGUCAGCUCGUGUCGUGAGAUGUUGGGUUAAGUCCCGCAACGA
rnacentral:rRNA from 1 species